CUUAUUAAGAGCGAGGGAGGGAAUGGGCCCUUUGAUCUCGCGGCAACCUCACCCGGGGGUGAAGGUGCCAAUUCCCACGGAGGUUAAGCCAGCCUCCGGCAGAUGAGG
rnacentral:ncRNA from 1 species